UCCUGUGUUUGGAAGUGAUUGUGGGCUGCCAGUGCCCUGGUCAUUGAUGCCUCAGGGACAGGGUGCCAAGAGCCUUCUCCGUGUUUGGAGGGUCUGCUGUCCUUACCAAACCCUGGUGCUUUUGAACA